rnacentral:rRNA from 1 species
GUGGGGAAUAUUGGGCAAUGGGCGAAAGCCUGACCCAGCAACGCCGCGUGAAGGAAGAAGGUUUUCGGAUCGUAAACUUCUAUCCUUGGUGAAGAUAAUGACGGUAGCCAAGAAGGAAGCCCCGGCUAACUACGUGCCAGCAGCCGCGGUAAUACGUAGGGGGCAAGCGUUGUCCGGAAUGAUUGGGCGUAAAGGGCGCGUAGGCGGCCCGGUACGUCUGAAGUGAAAGUCCUGCUUUUAAGGUGGGAAUUGCUUUGGAUACUGUCGGGCUUGAGUGCAGGAGAGGUAAGCGGAAUUCCCGGUGUAGCGGUGAAAUGCGUAGAGAUCGGGAGGAACACCAGUGGCGAAGGCGGCUUACUGGACUGUAACUGACGCUGAGGCGCGAAAGUGUGGGGAGCAAACAGGAUUAGAUACCCCGGUAGUCC